GUCUCUUUGUUUUUAUUUUAUAAAGAGUCUAACCUGCCCGGUGAUAUAUAUUUUAACGGCCGCGGUACUCUGACCGUGCAAAGGUAGCAUAAUCAUUUGCCUUAUAAUUGAAGGCUUGUAUGAAUGGUUUGACGAGAAUUAGCCUGUCUCUUAUAAAUUAAAAUGAAAUUGGCUUUUAAGUGUAAAGACUUAAAUCUCACUAAUAGACAAGAAGACCCUAUUGAGCUUUAAAGAUCUAUAAUAACAUAAACUGUAUUGAAAUAAGAUUAUAAGUUAUUAAAAUUUUUAGUUGGGGCGACUGUUGGAACAAAUAAAACUUCCAGAGUUUUGUAGUAUUCGGUAUUAAUUUAUUUAAAUUGAUCCAAAAUAUUUUGAUUAAUAGAAUAAGUUACCAUAGGGAUAACAGCAUAAUCUAUCUUAAGAGCUCUAAUCGAAAGAAAGGUUUGUGACCUCGAUGUUGGAUUAAAAUGUCCUAAGGGUGUAGAAGUUCUUAAGGGUUGGUCUGUUCGACUAUUAAAAUUUU
rnacentral:rRNA from 1 species